rnacentral:misc_RNA from 1 species
UCCGACUUGACGUCGGCAGUCUCGUUAGAGUGCCCCACUUAAGGCUGGCAACUAACGACAGAGGUUGCGCUCGUUGCGGGACUUAACCCAACAUCUCACGACACGAGCUGACGACAGCCAUGCAGCACCUGUGUUCCGGUUCCCUUUCGGGCACAACCGCCUUUCAGCAGCCUUCCGGACAUGUCAAGGGUAGGUAAGGUUGUUCGCGUUGCAUCGAAUUAAUCCACAUAAUCCACCGCUUGUGCGGGUCCCCGUCAAUUCCUUUGAGUUUUAGCCUUGCGGCCGUACUCCCCAGGCGGAAUGCUUAAAGCGUUAGCGACGGCACCCGGGGACUUUAUAACCCCAGACACCAAGCAUUCAUCGUUUAAGGCUAGGACUAC